CUCAUCUGUGACGCGCCUUUUCUCAGAGAGGCUUGACUUCUGUCAAGAGUCGUUGCGCCCCUUUCUUCUCCGUUUUCUCUUUGCCCCCGUUUUUCUUUCUCCCCGCGCGCCUCUGCUCCCUCUGGAGUAAAUCAGUUAUGCUCUCCGACGCUACCCAUAUUCUUAACAUAUCUCUCGCUCUCCUAACGGUGGAGGCCCAGCGUCGCCCGUGGUCAACUCCGACCCUUAUUUCCUAUAUUAAAAUCUCUCUCAAUCGUUAUCUCCUGCACCUCUCCUCUCAUGGAGCUCUUUCAUUGUUCAGAAGAACAACAUUUUGAAGCUUUUAGGCGGAGCCUGUUAUCCGAUUGUCGUGGUUGGCACCGAUUGUCGUGGUUGGCAACAGCUGCUAUCAUUUGCUCUCGCCAAUGGAGGAGUAUUAUUAGUUCAACAUGUCAAUAUUCUUCCCAUUCGGGAAGAUUUGCGUCUUCUUAUUUUUUGGGAUUUUUGUUUAGACGAAGCCUCCUGAUUGGCAAGAUUUUAUGGGCAGUAGAACCCUUCUUCUCAUCAGUUCAACCAUAAGCUUUAUCGAGGAAAACCAUGCCGCCGCUGCGACUUAUGGCCCCGCCUUGCUCCAAAAUCGAAGCUAAUAUCUUCUUUUAGACAAGCUCUUGUACUGUAUGUCGGACUCAUCAUACGGCGUUUCUCCUUGUCAACUGGUUGAAAUUAAUGCUGCUACUUUAUGAUGGUGGAAAAAUGUUAGGUCCUAGGGGAGGGCGAUGGAGCGAGGAAAAAGCCUCCAUUAUGGUUCUAGGAGACAUAAUCAGUGCUAAACUAGGUGAUAUGAUUCCUGCUGAUGCCCGUCAUAGGAGGCCAAAUGUUGAUGGAACUGGAGAGGGAAUGUGUACAAGUGUAUAGGAGGAAUGUGGCCGAGGUAAACCAUGUUAAGGCAAGAUUGCACCGGUCCCUAGCAGCUAAAGAGACUGAACUUGCGACACUUGUGGCAGUGGUUGGAGAUCUCAAUCUUUGUUUCCGCCAAGUUCGUUUUAGAGGCUGCAGAUGUAAUUUUCCUACCAGCUUCAUAAGUGCAAACAAAGAAGAAAGAAAUGUGAAGAAGUAUCAGACUUUGACGGGAGCAUGAUAUAUACAAUCAGGCACAUUUCACAUGAAGGGUCUUGGUCAGAAUAUUUGGUAGAACCUUUAGCAAUAAGGAUUCUCAAUAUGUAAGCAACGGCCUGAUUUUUUUUCUUUAAUCGAUGCAAAUCUGCAUCUUAAAUUUGAAGGGUUCUCAGUACCAAAAAGCAUGCUUAGUAAAUAUGAAAAAGGGCCAUGCAACGCAAGGAAAUUAAAACAUAUUUCUGGAGUCAUCCCAGGACUUGAAAUCUCAAUAAAGAGCAAUUGUGGAAAUAUGCCAAUGCUGCUUCGGCAUAGGCCCCUUGUCUUGUUCAAUGAAUGAAGGAGUAUUUUUUCCAUUAGCAUACUUUUUGUGAGCUGAACUAUAUAUGUAGCUCACCUACUUGUGGACUUAAUGCUGGAACUGUUCCCCUAUUACAUUGUUCUCUCAAGAAGUCUAGCUAUUCAGUCGACCUAGUGCUGUGUGACAUUACAAAUUUGCUGGCUCUUUCUUGUGUAA